rnacentral:rRNA from 1 species
AUACGGAGGAUCCGAGCGUUAUCCGGAUUUAUUGGGUUUAAAGGGUGCGUAGGCGGAUGAUUAAGCGUGAGGUGAAAUGCCACUGCUCAACAGUGGAACUGCCUCGCGAACUGGUUGUCUUGAAUGCUCCUGCCGUGGGAGGAAUGUGUGGUGUAGCGGUGAAAUGCAUAGAGAUCACACAGAACACCGAUUGCGAAGGCAUCUCACGAAGGGGUGAUUGUCGCUGAGGCACGAAAGCGUGGGGAUCAAACAGGAUUAGAUACCCUGGUAGUCCACGCAGUAAACGAUGAUAACUAACCGCUGGGUCGUAGUGAUUCAGUGGCCAAGCGAAAGCGAUAAGUUAUCCACCUGGGGAGUACGACCGCAAGGUUGAAACUCAAAGGAAUUGACGGGG